CCCGCAAUCCUCUAUGCCUGCCAGACCCGGAAUACGAUUAAUGUCCACCAGCACAGAGGGCCGAAGCAGGCGAAAGUUGAGCAUCGGCACGAGACUUUGACCGCCGGCAAUGAUCUUGCCAUCGCCGCCCGCGGCUGCAAGCGAGGCCACAGCGGAUUCCACGCUAUCGGCGACGACAUAAUCGAAGGCAGCGGGCUUCAUCUGCUCAGCAUCCCUUGAAUGCGGGUGGACGUUUCUCGGCGAAANGCGGCCCUCUUUAUAAUCAUCGCUUGCGGAAACGCGGUCGAUGAAACUUUGUGCCGCCCUC
rnacentral:misc_RNA from 1 species